rnacentral:rRNA from 1 species
GGCGGGAGCAAGCGUUGUUCGGAAUCACUGGGCGUAAAGGGAGUCUAGGCGGUUUGGUAAGUGGGAUGUGAAAUCCCCGGGCUCACCCCGGGACCUGCAUCCCAAACUGCUGAGCUUGAGUACAGGAGAGGGUGGGGGAAUUCCAGGUGUAGCGGUGAAAUGCGUAGAUAUCUGGAGGAACACCGGUGGCGAAGGCGCCCACCUGGCCUGCUACUGACGCUGAAGCUCGAAAGCUAGGGGAGCAAACGGGAUUGGAUACCCCGGUAGUCCUAGCCGUAAACGGUGAUCACUAGGUGUUGGGAGCAUCGACCCUUCCAGUGCCGCAGCUAACGCAUUAAGUGAUCCGCCUGGGGAGUACGGCCGCAAGGUUG